UUAGUAUAAAGAAACACCAGUCUUUCAAGAUACCCUGGUAGUCCACGCCCUAAACGAUGUCAACUAGUUGUUGGGGAUUCAUUUCCUUAGUAACGUAGCUAACGCGUGAAGUUGACCGCCUGGGGAGUACGGUCGCAAGAUUAAAACUCAAAGGAAUUGACGGGGACCCGCACAAGCGGUGGAUGAUGUGGAUUAAUUCGAUGCAACGCGAAAAACCUUACCUACCCUUGACAUGGUCGGAAUCCCGCUGAGAGGU
rnacentral:rRNA from 1 species